rnacentral:rRNA from 1 species
AGAGUUUGAUCCUGGCUCAGGACGAACGCUGGCGGCGCGCUUAACACAUGCAAGUCGUGCGAUACUUCGAGCGAGUCUUACGACAAGCUCAAGGUAGAGCGGCGGACGGGUGAGUAACACGUGAGUAGCUGUCCUAAGGAGGGGGAUAACGCCUGGAAACGGGUGCUAAAACCCCAUAUGCCUCGCAAGAGGUGAAAAUGCAGCUUGCUGCAGCCUUAGGGUGUGCUCGCGGCCUAUCAGCUAGUUGGUGAGGUAAGGGCUCACCAAGGCUAAGACGGGUAGCCGGCCUGAGAGGGUGUACGGCCACACUGGAAUUGAGAUACGGUCCAGACUCCUACGGGAGGCAGCAGUGGGGAAUUUUGGGCAAUGGGCGAAAGCCUGACCCAGCGACGCCGCGUUGGGGAUGAAGUCCUUCGGGGCGUAAACCCAUGUUGUAGGGGAAGAAGAAAGUGACGGUACCCUACGAGAAAGCCCCGGCCAACUACGUGCCAGCAGCCGCGGUAAAACGUAGGGGGCGAGCGUUGUCCGGAAUUACUGGGCGUAAAGGGCAUGCAGGCGGUGCGCCAAGUCGGGGGUGUAAAGUUACGGCUCAACCGUGACCUUGCAAUCGAAACUGGCGCACUGGAGUGCGGGAGAGGGAAGUGGAAUUCCCGGUGUAGCGGUGAAAUGCGUAGAUAUCGGGAGGAACGCCAGUGGCGAAGGCGGCUUCCUGGCCCGCGACUGACGCUCAUGUGCGAAAGCCAGGGGAGCGAACCGGAUUAGAUACCCGGGUAGUCCUGGNCGUAAACGAUGGGUGCUAGGUGUAGGCGCGUCAAGCGUCUGUGCCGAAGUUAACGCGAUAAGCACCUCGCCUGGGGAGUACGUCGCAAGGCUGAAACUCAAAGGAAUUGACGGGGGCCCGCACAGCGGUGGAGCACGUGGUUUAAUUCGAUGCAACCGAGACCUUACCUGGGUUUGACAUGCAGUGUACGA